ACCCGCUGAACUUAAGCAUAUCAAUAAGCGGAGGAAAAGAAACCAACAGGGAUUGCCUUAGUAACGGCGAGUGAAGCGGCAAAAGCUCAAAUUUGAAAUCGGCCACCAGGUCGAGUCGUAAUUUGUAGAUUGUAUCUUGAGAGCGGAUUAAAGUCUGUUGGAACACAGCGCCUUAGAGGGUGACAGCCCCGUAAAAUCUAUUCUCAUUGUAAGAUACUUUCGAAGAGUCGAGUUGUUUGGGAAUGCAGCUCUAAGUGGGAGGUAAAUUCCUUCUAAAGCUAAAUAUUGACGAGAGACCGAUAGCGAACAAGUACUGUGAAGGAAAGAUGAAAAGCACUUUGAAAAGAGAGUGAAAAAGUACGUGAAAUUGUUAAAAGGGAAGGGUAUUGAAUCAGACUUGGUGCUGUUGUUCAACUGUGUUUUGGCACAGUGUACUCAGCAGUACUAGGCCAAGGUGGGGUGUUUGGGAGUGAAAAAGAAGUUGGAACGUAACUCUUCGGAGUGUUAUAGCCUACUUUCAUAGCUCCUCAGGCGCCUCAGGACUGCGCUUCGGCAAGGACCUUGGCAUAAUGAUUCUAUACCGCCCGUCUUGAAACACGGACCAAGGAG
rnacentral:rRNA from 1 species